rnacentral:rRNA from 1 species
UGUAGGACCUUACCCGGUAGACGACACUGCCGACGGCCCCCGAAACUCUGUUUUAUAGCAUUAAACUUCUGAAAACAUAACUAAAUAAGUUAAAACUUUCAACAACGGAUCUCUUGGUUCUGGCAUCGAUGAAGAACGCAGCGAAAUGCGAUAAGUAAUGUGAAUUGCAGAAUUCAGUGAAUCAUCGAAUCUUUGAACGCACAUUGCGCCCACUAGUAUUCUGGUGGGCAUGCCUGUUCGAGCGUCAUUUCAACCCUUAAGCCCCUGUUGCUUAGCGUUAGGAGCCUACCGGAACUCUCUGGUAGCUCCCCAAAGUCAGUGGCGGAGCCGGUUCGCACUCCAGACGUAGUAGCUUUUACACGUCGCCUGUAGCGCGGGCCGGUCCCCUGCCAUAAAACACCCCAAUUUUUAUAGGUUGACCUCGGAUCAGGUAGGAAUACCCGCUGAACUUAAGCAUAUCAAUAAGCGGAGGAAAAGAAACCAACAGGGAUUGCCCUAGUAACGGCGAGUGAAGCGGCAACAGCUCAAAUUUGAAAUCUGGCCUUCGGGUCCGAGUUGUAAUUUGCAGAGGAUGCUUUUGGCGCGGUGCCUUCCGAGUUCCCUGGAACGGGACGCCUUAGAGGGUGAGAGCCCCGUACGGUUGGACACCAAGCCUCUGUAAAGCUCCUUCGACGAGUCGAGUAGUUUGGGAAUGCUGCUCUAAAUGGGAGGUAAAUUUCUUCUAAAGCUAAAUAUUGGCCAGAGACCGAUAGCGCACAAGUAGAGUGAUCGAAAGAUGAAAAGCACUUUGAAAAGAGGGUUAAACAGCACGUGAAAUUGUUGAAAGGGAAGCGUUUGCGACCAGACCUUCUCCUGGCGGAUCAUCCGGUGGU